AGAAACACGAGAACUUUGAACUUGAUUAAUGUUUUUUCAAGCAGAGAAUGAGUCUUAUUCUAUGUUCUUCAUGGCAUUAUGUAUGCGGCAGUGCUAGACCUACAGAAUGGUUCUUUCACAGAACCUUCACAGAAUGACGCGUCGUUUGCCUUGAAGAACGAAUUUUCCCCAAGAACAGAGCCCCAAUAACGAAAGGAAACAACAAUAAAGGAAACGAAAAUUCUCUCACCAUUUGGAACCCUAAAAAUCGCCUCCACCUCUGCCCGGUCGAAAUCCACCUCCGACCAACCGAUCGACGAGUCGCCUCUGUGGAGACCACCUCCGGCAGCUCGAUCGAGGAAUCGCCGCAGCAAAAUCCACAUCUAGCAACCUAUCUUGCUUCCCCUUUUCGUGGAAUCAGAACGUCGUAAUCAUCUCAAAACCCAUUUUCAGUCUGCUGAGUAGUGUCCAACCAGUAUCUGAUAUCUUUUACCUUCAGGAUGAGGGGGAGGAAUGUUGGUGUCUGUCACGGCUGUAGAAGUACGAACCAUUCCUUCCUGAAUUGCCCGAUAAAACAACGAUGCCCAUGGUGUACGCAUGGAUUGCAAAAAUAUUUUGAAGUUCAAAGGGAGACAAGAACAAAGGGCGAUUAUUCAAAACAUGCAGUGUUAACUGUGGGUAUUUUGAUUAGGUCAUAUACAAAGAAUCAAGCGGUGAAUCUAGCACGACUAAUGAAAUAGUGAAUCUCGAAGCCAUCGAGGAAGCCGAAGAUUUACCGACCAUGUUCGACAGUCUAGCCGGAAUAGUUGAAAAAAGAGACAUUGAAAUUUCAUUGAACGUGACAUUCCGUAAGGGAAAGGAAAGUGUCGAGGUGAAUGGGAAUGGAAAAGGGAAGGGCCACGCCCCAUAGGUAGUACGCAAAACUGAUAUUUUGCAAACAUGUUUUUGCUUGACGUUUGCUAUCGAAAAACGUAUGUAGAAUAUGGUUUUGUAAUUUAAUGUUUGACUUAAUGUUUGGUAGAAAUAGUACUUGUUGCCAUAUCAAUAUGUAUGAACCGAGAACAGGACCAGUUGCAACU